ensembl:snoRNA
CUUCUUUUGUAGUUCAUGAGCAUGAUGACUGGGUGUUCAUGCACAUGUGUGAGAUGUGCCACCCUUGUACAACACUGGCACAUUACCCAUCAGACC